UACAGAGGGGGCAAGCGUUGUUCGGAAUUACUGGGCGUAAAGGGCGCGUAGGCGGCCCGCUAAGUCGAACGUGAAAUCCCCGAGCUCAACUCGGGAACUGCGUCCGAUACUGGCGGGCUUGAAUCCGGGAGAGGGAUGCGGAAUUCCAGGUGUAGCGGUGAAAUGCGUAGAUAUCUGGAGGAACACCGGUGGCGAAGGCGGCAUCCUGGACCGGUAUUGACGCUGAGGCGCGAAAGCUAGGGUAGCAAACGGG
rnacentral:rRNA from 1 species